UACGGGGGGGGGCAAGCGUUGUUCGGAAUUACUGGGCGUAAAGGGCUCGUAGGCGGCCAACUAAGUCGGAUGUGAAAUCCCCAGGCUUAACCUGGGAACUGCAUCCGAUACUGGAUGGCUUGAAUCCGGGAGAGGGAUGCAGAAUUCCAGGUGUAGCGGUGAAAUGCGUAGAUAUCUGGAGGAAUACCGGUGGCGAAGGCGGCAUCCUGGACCGGCAUUGACGCUGAGGCGCGAAAGCCAGGGGAGCAAACGGGG
rnacentral:rRNA from 1 species